rnacentral:ncRNA from 1 species
AUAGGGAAUGUGAGCUGGGAUUAGACCAUCGUGAGACAGGUUUGUUUUACCCUCCUGAUGA